UUGAUCCUGGCUCACGAUGAACGCUGGCGGUCUGUUUACACAUGCAAGUCGAACGGGCUCUUCGGAGCUAGUGGCGGACGGGUGAGUAACGCGUGAAAAUCUGCCUUCGUGAGGGGGAUAACGACUGGAAACGGUCGCUAAUACCCCAUAUGCCUCCGGGUGAAACUGUUAUUCGCCGGAAGAUGAGCUCGCGUCGGAUUACGCUACUUCGUAGGGGGUAAGAGCCUACCAAAGCGACUAUCUGUAGCUGGUCUGAGACGAUGAUCAGACACUCUGGGACUGAGACACGGCCCAGACUCCUACGGUAGGCACUAAUGGGGAAUUCUCCGUAAUGGGCGCAAGCCUGACGUGAGCAAUACCGCGUGGGGGAUGACGGACCUAAUGGUUGUAAACCCCUUUAUCUCUGGGAGAAGAAUGACUGAGCUGGUACCAAAGCGAAUCAUCCUCGAGCUAAUCGUCCGAUGCUCAACAGCCGCUGGUACUAGCUGAGUGAGGCAAUGCGUUCUCCGGGAAUUAUCGGGCGUAAAGCGUCCGUAGGUGGUAAUGCUAGUCUGCUGUCCAAACUUACGGCUUAUCUCCGUAAAGGCAGCGGAAACUGAGUG
rnacentral:rRNA from 1 species